UACAGAGGUCUCAACCGUUGUUCGGAUUCAUUGGGCGUAAAGGGUGCGUAGGCGGUCGUGCAAGUCGGAUGUGAAAUCUCAGGGCUCAACCCUGAAACUGCAUUCGAUACUGCGUGGCUAGAGUGCUGGAGAGGAGACUGGAAUUUACGGUGUAGCAGUGAAAUGCGUAGAUAUCGUAAGGAAGACCAGUGGCGAAGGCGAAUCUCUGGACAGUUACUGACACUGAGGCUCGAAGGCCAGGGGAGCAAACGGG
rnacentral:rRNA from 1 species